rnacentral:rRNA from 1 species
AUACGGAGGAUGCGAGCGUUAUCCGGAUUUAUUGGGGUUAAAGGGUGCGUAGGCGGGCUGUUAAGCGUGAGGCGAAAGACAUGCGCUCCACGCAGGAAGUGCCAUUGAUACUGCAGUGCUGGAGUACCCCUGCCGUGGGAGGAAUGAGUGGUGUAGCGGUGAAAUGCAUAGAUAUCACUCAGAACACCGAUUGCGAAGGCAUCUCACGAAAGGGCAACUGACGCUGAGGCACGAAAGCGUGGGGAUCAAACAGGCUUAGAUACCCUGGUAGUCCACGCUGUAAACGAUGAUGACUAACUGUCGGCGAUAUACAGUCGGUAGCCAAGCGAAAGCGAUAAGUCAUCCACCUGGGGAGUACGACCGCAAGGUUGAAACUCAAAGGAAUUGACGGGG